AACGAACGCUGGCGGCAGGCUUAACACAUGCAAGUCGAACGCCCCGCAAGGGGAGUGGCAGACGGGUGAGUAACGCGUGGGAACGUGCCCUUCGCUUCGGAAUAUUCCCGGGAAACUGGGAGCAAUGCCGGAUACGCCGAAUUGGGAAAGAUUUAUCGGCGAAGGAUCGGCCCGCGUUAGAUUGGGUAGUUGGUGGGGUAAUGGCCUACCAAGCCUACGAUCUAUAGCUGGUCUGAGAGGAUGAUCAGCUACACUGGGACUGAGACACGGCCCAGACUCCUACGGGAGGCAGCAGUGGGGAAUCUUGGACAAUGGGCGCAAGCCUGAUCCAGCCAUGCCGCGUGAGUGAAGAAGGCCUUAGGGUUGUAAAACUCUUUCGCCGGUGAAGAUAAUGACGGUAGCCGGAGAAGAAGCCCCGGCUAACUUCGUGCCAGCCGCCGCCGUAAAAC
rnacentral:rRNA from 1 species